CGGCCAGCAGUGGCCUCUUGAAGACUGCAUAGGCUCCAAGGGUAAGAAAAGGAUCUGGAGCCCAGCUGCCUCUCCCCCACCAUACAAUCCCAGGCCACCUUUUCUCAUACUGGCCUCCCUUAGGGGGUUUCUCCUGCAUCCUUAACUCUUUCCUGGAAUGUUCCACCCUCUGCUGUGCUGUGGCCUACACUGAAGCAGGAGACACAGAAGCGUGGUCUAUUCUACUUUAACUGAGAUCUCUCAUUGGACACAGGUCUGCAGUGGCGCCCAUGAUUGGCUUCGAGUGGCUGCUUGCUCAGAUCUCAAGGAGCCUCAUCUAUUUCACAUGAGAUAAACCAGAUGAGGUGUCCUCCCUGAUUCACAGCCCUAUGCGGCUGUGAUCUUCCCAUUACUCUGGCUGUGGCUGCUGAGUCUUCUCCCAGAGGUCCAGGGGGCAGCAGAAGAAAGUUGCUGAUACCGGCAAGCAGGGCCUCCCUCCUGGUCCCCUGCCCAGCCCGCGCAGUCCACUUUCCAGGCUUCCACGGCCUGACUCCAGCCUUGCCAGCCAUCCAGAGAUGCCCACAUUUGCAUAAAGUAAUUGCCCUUUAAAAGCGUCUUUUAAAGAGAACACUCUGCAUCUGAGGAUUAUAACAACAGAAGAAGAAAAAAAUAAGAUUGCCCUCUCAUCCACUACCAAACAGGAAUGUCGGUGGCAAAGGGCCCAUAUUUUGGAUGCAAAUCUUAAAAAGGACUCAGGAGGCUUUAGGGAAAAAAUAUAUCUAUAUUUGUAGAAGGUGGCAAAACUAUUACCUUUCAGCUAAAGACUUUGUCUCUACCUGUGAAUCAAAAGUCAGAACAAACUGCACUCAGUUACUAAACUUGGAACAAGUAUUUUGGGGUUUUUUUUUUUUGAAGCGAAAGAGUACUAUCAUUUCAUUCCCGCCCGUGACAUGCUAUGCACCCAGAUCUGGCUACCUUAUUAGCAAGGCCUGGUGCAGAAUGAAAAUGCUUGUUCAAACAGGAAAAAAAAAAGCUUUUUUCUUUAUUCUGAGAUCUCCGUCCUGGUGUGUUUUGUUUUGUUUUUAUCUGCUAUUUAAUGUCAUACUCUUUUGGGCACAGGAAUACUUGUAGGGUGAAUACAGCCCCUUGAAGACCUCCACAGCCCUGCCCCAUGGCACAAUUAUGGGAUUGACUCUGACCCUCUUCAGUCUUGGGCACAUUUGGGGAAAGGGGGAGGUGGCAGAAGCAGAACUUCACUUACAAAACACAAACUCAAACAUAAAGUGAUUAAGAUUUUCAAGAAUUUCAAGGUGGCUAUUGCAAACCUUUAAGCUCCAAGUGGGGAGCCCCCUUAUAUCCAGCAGUCAGUGUAACUGAAGGUGAGGAGCCUCCCCCUGGAAUGUCUUAUCCGUCUGGGCUCAAGGCCUGCCCCUCUGCCCUUGGCCAAGUUACUGAUCUUUCCUGUUUAUAAAAUGGGGCUAAUAACAGUACCUCCUUUGUCAGGCUGAUUGGAUAAUUAGCUGACCUAAGAAUAAUGGCUAACUCUUCUACAGCACUUGUUGGCAUGAGUGGCAUUAGGGGCUAGCCUAAUGCCCCACACUGAUGUGUUUUAGAAAUAUCAACUCACUUAACUCUCAUAACAGGCGUGGGGGGUUGCUGUUACUGUUUCUGCCUGACAAGAGAGCAUGUGGAGGUGUGGAGCAUCAGGCAACUAGUCCAGGCCCAAACCGCUUGGGUGUGGAGGAGCAGCAUGGCCAAGAUUUGCACCCAUCCACUCAGCUCCAGAGCGUGCACUUCUGCCAGGUGCCUGAAAGCCAUCAAUCAAUGAACAAACCCACCCUGCGGCUGGCUGGGGAACCUGAGGGCUUAAGACACUUAUAACGUAACUGAAGAUGCUAAACUAAGAUGCACAUAACACAACAGUGACCAUGAUAAAAAAAAAAAUUCAUUAGCAAAGUUUGUUGUAG
rnacentral:lncRNA from 10 species